ensembl:lncRNA
UUCUUUUGAAAGCAGGACGAGAGGAGGGCCACUUCUGAAACUGCGGGCAUAAUGGUGCCAUUCCUUAUCGCAGAUCUGACAGUGCCCGGAGCCUGCUCGCCCCCCUCUCACUCGCUCGUUCUCCGCUCCUGACUAACUACUGUUUUGGAUUGGCCUCUGGCCUCGGUCUCCUGGAAUCUUCUUUUGGAAGUCAAGGGCCAAGUUUUUAUCAUCCUUACAGAGACAGCCUUUCUUUGGCGAUAGCGGCGAAGCAGUAGGCUGCUCAAGGGCCAUUUCUAUCACCGGACCUCAUCUGUCAUGGCAUCACUCUCAGAGGCUAAGAGCUCAUUGAAGUGCUCCUUUCAAGAUGUCAAGGGCAAGCAGCUGGGCUUGGGGGAAGUGCAGAGAUAAUUCUGCUGAGCCUUUGUUUCCCAGCCCGUCUGGCAAUCACCAGCACUGCGGCAACGACAGGAAAAGCCUUCAACGCCCACUUCCUUGCCACACAAGAGCCGCAUUUCUGAACUGGGUCAGCCGGGUGAGGCGUGGCCACCUGUAUGGACCUCCAGGCACGUGAAGCCACUCUUGCCGAAGACGUUUGGUUGGAGAAUUUUGGUUUUGUGGCUGUGUACACGUUCUGUCAUUGCAUGGCCUGUGAUGCAGAGAGCAUAUCUCUUCCCCCUGAAAAGCCUUGGCAGAGAGCUUUCAUUUUGGAGGAAGCUUAUUUCCGGGCAACCAUCUCCAGGGAAAAUGAGUGUGAGGCAGUAGGCAGUAAACAACAUCGUAUCCCAUAGGGACGGAGGUGACCCGAAUGAGCUCCGGAGCGAGUCCGUGAUAGCGGCAGAAUCAUUACAGUGUGUGCGCCUGCCCAAGUCCAUGUGUAAUUGUAAUGUAUAAUUAAUACAGAGCUAAAAUUAAACUCCUGGGUGAAAGAGACGGGCAGGCUGAGGAGGCUGAGGAAUAUCAACCUCUAAGAUACAGCUUGUUUAUGACAAAUGUAGGAUUGGGUUGCUCUUCAUUUCAGUGGGCGUGUGCCUGUGUUUUGGGUUGCUCUUUGCUAAUAUUUCAGCCUUGAGGAAUAAGGAUUCCACAGUUAUCCUCUUCCCAUUCCUUCCAACCCCAGGAAGAAACUCUCUUUCAAGUAACCUUGUCCUCAGGCCACUGAAGUACUUUGGUUUUUCCAGAUAAUUUUUCUCAAGUGACGAAACUCACAAGCAAACAGAGACAGGACACGCCCCUUUCCUGGUGCCAUUCCUUGGUGCGCUCUUGACCCUGACUUUGCCAUGAGUUUGCAGGCGUGUCACCUGAGGAGACUUCCAGCUCUCGCUCGUGAAUACGGCUCACAGCGCCCUCCACCAUUCUUUGGACCUUGAAGAGAGGUGACCACUGGUUGCCAUUGUGGCCCUUGAUGGUUAAUUAAAGUUUGAUUCUGGGAGCAGCGGUUUUUUUGAAACAACUCUCAGGGUAACUAAGCUUACUUCUACUUUUCAAACCCAGACUUCACGUUAGCCUCUGCAUUCUAUUUGUGCUAAAUGUGCAGUACUGAAGAAUUUAGAGAGAAGACAGUUUUUACUUCUCUUCUUUCCUAGUUGAUUGUUUGAAACUCACUGACAGGCUUGAGCUGAACCAUCGUCUGGUUCCGAAUUCCCACUUCAGCGUUGUCCACACGCGGACCCUCUGUUCCUGCUUUUAGCUGGAUGCUCUACCAUUUUCUACCAGAGGUUAUAGUCACACAAAUUCUGCACGCCUGUUUUCACUCCUAGAUCUUGUUAUCCCUUGUUUGGGCAAAACUUAAUAAUGUCUCACUCCUGGUUUAAAAGAAGUUUUCUACUGAAGCCCCAGAGCAUUUUUUAAUGUGAUAUAGUACAUACUAGACACAGUGUCAUAGCAUCUUAUUCCUAAAAUUCCAAUGAGAUGAGAAAGAGAGACAGAGACGGGGAUAUAUCAUUUGAUCCAAAGUAACUGUCUUCUGUAACAUCAGCAGCAAGUAUUAGCCAGUGAUUUUCACCCCCUCUUGUCUGUGUUCCACCUUUGUCACUGUGAUACUGAGAGAGCUAUUAAACAACUCUGACCCUAAGGCUCCUUAAAUAGGACGACAGAAGCAAAGUUUAGUCCUCACUGGGUGUUGGGUUAGCACAGAACCCAACACAAAUGAAAAUCUUCAAUUUACUUUCUCUUUUAUUCCUUUCAUUGAGUAGGAAAACCAACACUGAACAUGUGAAAAAAAAGUAUCCUGAAAUUGAUCAGAGCAUAUAUUUAACUGGCUGGAAAAUCCAUUUGACAAAAUUGCUUUGACUCUCUCAUCAAAUUUCAUGGUGUUGAAUUAUUAAUU